GAGAAGGGCUGGUUGCAGCCCAUGCUGUGCCAGCCCUGGGGGCUGGAGUGAAAUUUUGCUUCUGCAGAACGACUCGCCAUCUGGAGAGGCUCAAAAAGGGAUCUGUUUCCAUUUUCGGUAAAGGAAGCGAGGGAAAAGAUUUCCAGGGAAGAAUAUUCAAAGGUAUUAGCUAUGGAGAUUUAUGCCCUGCUUUACGACAGCCGACGGGGAUUUGGUGAAUAAGCGUUACAGGAGGAUGCUAGAAGGAACCCAUAGGUGCUGAGAAUGGGGGCUUUUCAGGACAGAGAUAUAUUUUGUGGGAAUCAUAUACAUAGACUGGAUAUUGUCCUUCCCUUUACUCAGAAGAGCAGUUACUGAGGCUGAAGAAAUAAUAUGCCUCAGGAAGUAAGUGAUGGGACUGGCAAACAAUAUGGAACUUGAAGUUUAGAUAGACAGAAAGAAACACAAUCAUUUCUUGUGAUGUUUUGAGAAUAGAUCCUCAAAAUGUGCCCAUUAUCAUGUAUAAAUACUUUCAGAACAUGUUUGUUCUACAAACUCUUCUUGGAUGGGGAUUUACAUAUAAUAACGUUUGUGUGGUAAACAUUUAGGAACUCUGCCUCCUGCUCAGUAACUAAUUAAAGCAGAAAUAUUUGGCGAUUAUAGAAACAAAACUUAAUGCCAUUUGAUUUCUGAAUGUUGCGAAUCAAAAUGUACCAUAUGUGACUAUUCUGCAACAUGUGUAAAAAACAAAUGUUUGUAAGGAAUUCAGUGUUCAUGUUUCAAUAAUAAAGUUUUG
rnacentral:lncRNA from 1 species